AGCCUGAUCCAGCCAUACCGCGUGGGUGAAGAAGGCCUUCGGGUUGUAAAGCCCUUUUGUUGGGAAAGAAAUCCAGCUGGCUAAUACCCGGUUGGGAUGACGGUACCCAAAGAAUAAGCACCGGCUAACUUCGUGCCAGCAGCCGCGGUAAUACGAAGGGUGCAAGCGUUACUCGGAAUUACUGGGCGUAAAGCGUGCGUAGGUGGUCGUUUAAGUCCGUUGUGAAAGCCCUGGGCUCAACCUGGGAACUGCAGUGGAUACUGGGCGACUAGAGUGUGGUAGAGGGUAGCGGAAUUCCUGGUGUAGCAGUGAAAUGCGUAGAGAUCAGGAGGAACAUCCAUGGCGAAGGCAGCUACCUGGACCAACACUGACACUGAGGCACGAAAGCGUGGGGAGCAAACAGGAUUAGAUACCCUGGUAGUCCACGCCCUAAACGAUGCGAACUGGAUGUUGGGUGCAAUUUGGCACGCAGUAUCGAAGCUAACGCGUUAAGUUCGCCGCCUGGGGAGUACGGUCGAAGACUGAAACUCCAAAAAGGAAAUUUUGACGGA
rnacentral:rRNA from 1 species